CCGUACACAAAAGCGCAUGUGCUGUGAGCUCGAUGAGUAGGGCGGGACACGUGGUAUCCUGUCUGAAUAUGGGGGGACCAUCCUCCAAGGCUAAAUACUCCUGACUGACCGAUAGUGAACCAGUACCGUGAGGGAAAGGCGAAAAGAACCCCGGCGAGGGGAGUGAAAAAGAACCUGAAACCGUGUACGUACAAGCAGUGGGAGCACCCUUCGGGGUGUGACUGCGUACCUUUUGUAUAAUGGGUCAGCGACUUAUAUUCUGUAGCAAGGUUAACCGUAUAGGGGAGCCGUAGGGAAACCGAGUCUUAACCGGGCGUUAAGUUGCAGGGUAUAGACCCGAAACCCGGUGAUCUAGCCAUGGGCAGGUUGAAGGUUGGGUAACACUAACUGGAGGACCGAACCGACUAAUGUUGAAAAAUUAGCGGAUGACCUGUGGCUGGGGGUGAAAGGCCAAUCAAACCGGGAGAUAGCUGGUUCUCCCCGAAAGCUAUUUAGGUAGCGCCUCGUGAAUUCAUCUCCGGGGGUAGAGCACUGUUUCGGCUAGGGGGCCAUCCCGGCUUACCAACCCGAUGCAAACUGCGAAUACCGGAGAAUGUUAUCACGGGAGACACACGGCGGGUGCUAACGUCCGUCGUGAAGAGGGAAACAACCCAGACCGCCAGCUAAGGUCCCAAAGUCAUGGUUAAGUGGGAAACGAUGUGGGAAGGCCCAGACAGCCAGGAUGUUGGCUUAGAAGCAGCCAUCAUUUAAAGAAAGCGUAAUAGCUCACUGGUCGAGUCGGCCUGCGCGGAAGAUGUAACGGGGCUAAACCAUGCACCGAAGCUGCGGCAGCGAACGUAUCACCCAAGACAACUUUACGGAGUUGACGAUUGACGGAGCGAAGCGACGUCAAAGCGUUCAUUAAAGUCGAGUUGGCUUAGGGAUACGUUCGUUGGGUAGGGGAGCGUUCUGUAAGCCUGUGAAGGUGUGUCGUGAGGCAUGCUGGAGGUAUCAGAAGUGCGAAUGCUGACAUAAGUAACGAUAAAGCGGGUGAAAAGCCCGCUCGCCGGAAGACCAAGGGUUCCUGUCCAACGUUAAUCGGGGCAGGGUGAGUCGACCCCUAAGGCGAGGCCGAAAGGCGUAGUCGAUGGGAAACGGGUUAAUAUUCCCGUACUUGGUGUUACUGCGAAGGGGGGACGGAGAAGGCUAUGUUGGCCGGGCGACGGUUGUCCCGGUUUAAGCGUGUAGGUGUGUGUUCCAGGUAAAUCCGGUUCACUUUAACACUGAGGCGUGACGACGAGGCACUACGGUGCUGAAGCAACAAAUGCCCUGCUUCCAGGAAAAGCCUCUAAGCAUCAGGUAACACGAAAUCGUACCCCAAACCGACACAGGUGGUCAGGUAGAGAAUACCAAGGCGCUUGAGAGAACUCGGGUGAAGGAACUAGGCAAAAUGGUGCCGUAACUUCGGGAGAAGGCACGCUGACACGUAGGUGAAGUGAUUUACUCAUGGAGCUGAAGUCAGUCGAAGAUACCAGCUGGCUGCAACUGUUUAUUAAAAACACAGCACUGUGCAAACACGAAAGUGGACGUAUACGGUGUGACGCCUGCCCGGUGCCGGAAGGUUAAUUGAUGGGGUCAGCGUAAGCGAAGCUCCUGAUCGAAGCCCCGGUAAACGGCGGCCGUAACUAUAACGGUCCUAAGGUAGCGAAAUUCCUUGUCGGGUAAGUUCCGACCUGCACGAAUGGCGUAAUGAUGGCCAGGCUGUCUCCACCCGAGACUCAGUGAAAUUGAACUCGCUGUGAAGAUGCAGUGUACCCGCGGCAAGACGGAAAGACCCCGUGAACCUUUACUAUAGCUUGACACUGAACAUUGAGCCUUGAUGUGUAGGAUAGGUGGGAGGCUUUGAAGUGUGGACGCCAGUCUGCAUGGAGCCGACCUUGAAAUACCACCCUUUAAUGUUUGAUGUUCUAACGUGGACCCGUAAUCCGGGUUGCGGACAGUGUCUGGUGGGUAGUUUGACUGGGGCGGUCUCCUCCUAAAGAGUAACGGAGGAGCACGAAGGUUGGCUAAUCCUGGUCGGACAUCAGGAGGUUAGUGCAAUGGCAUAAGCCAGCUUGACUGCGAGCGUGACGGCGCGAGCAGGUGCGAAAGCAGGUCAUAGUGAUCCGGUGGUUCUGAAUGGAAGGGCCAUCGCUCAACGGAUAAAAGGUACUCCGGGGAUAACAGGCUGAUACCGCCCAAGAGUUCAUAUCGACGGCGGUGUUUGGCACCUCGAUGUCGGCUCAUCACAUCCUGGGGCUGAAGUAGGUCCCAAGGGUAUGGCUGUUCGCCAUUUAAAGUGGUACGCGAGCUGGGUUUAGAACGUCGUGAGACAGUUCGGUCCCUAUCUGCCGUGGGCGCUGGAGAACUGAGGGGGGCUGCUCCUAGUACGAGAGGACCGGAGUGGACGCAUCACUGGUGUUCGGGUUGUCAUGCCAAUGGCACUGCCCGGUAGCUAAAUGCGGAAGAGAUAAGUGCUGAAAGCAUCUAAGCACGAAACUUGCCCCGA
rnacentral:rRNA from 1 species